rnacentral:tRNA from 1 species
UUAAUUGAAACCAAAAUGUGAGGUAUUCCAUUGUUAAUGGAAAAACUGGAAGACUUUCCCAAUUAAA